rnacentral:rRNA from 1 species
UACGUAGGGUGCGAGCGUUAAUCGGAAUUACUGGGCGUAAAGCGUGCGCAGGCGGUUAUUUAAGACAGAUGUGAAAUCCCCGGGCUCAACCUGGGAACUGCAUUUGAUACUGGCAGACUCGAGUCUGGUAGAGGGUAGUGGAAUUCCGCAUGUAGCGGUGAAAUGCGUAGAUAUGCGGAGGAACAUCAGUGGCGAAGGCGGCUACCUGGACCAAGACUGACACUGAGGCACGAAAGCGUGGGGAUCAAACAGG